rnacentral:rRNA from 3 species
AACUUUCAGCAACGGAUCUCUUGGCUCUCCCAUCGAUGAAGAACGCAGCGAAAUGCGAUAAGUAAUGUGAAUUGCAGAAUUCAGUGAAUCAUCGAAUCUUUGAACGCACCUUGCGCCCUUUGGUAUUCCGAAGGGCAUGCCUGUUUGAGUGUCAUUA